GAUGAACGCUGGCGGCGUGCCUAAUACAUGCAAGUCGAGCGAACGGACGAGAAGCUUGCUUCUCUGAUGUUAGCGGCGGACGGGUGAGUAACCCGUGGAUAACCUACCUAUAAGACUGGGAUAACUUCGGGAAACCGGAGCUAAAACCGGAUAAUAUUUUGAACCGCAUGGUUCAAAAGUGAAAGACGGUCUUGCUGUCACUUAUAGAUGGAUCCGCGCUGCAUUAGCUAGUUGGUAAGGUAACGGCUUACCAAGGCAACGAUGCAUAGCCGACCUGAGAGGGUGAUCGGCCACACUGGAACUGAGACACGGUCCAGACUCCUACGGGAGGCAGCAGUAGGGAAUCUUCCGCAAUGGGCGAAAGCCUGACGGAGCAACGCCGCGUGAGCGAUGAAGGUCUUCGGAUCGUAAAACUCUGUUAUUAGGGAAGAACAUAUGUGUAAGUAACUGUGCACAUCUUGACGGUACCUAAUCAGAAAGCCACGGCUAACUACGUG
rnacentral:rRNA from 1 species